CACGUAGGAGGCGAGCGUUGUCCGGAAUCAUUGGGCGUAAAGAGCGCGCAGGCGGCUUGGCAAGUCGGGUGUGAAAUCCCGGGCUCAACCCCGUCGACUGCAUCCGAUACUGUCAGGCUAGAGGUAGGUAGGGGAGAUCGGAAUUCCUGGUGUAGCGGUGAAAUGCGCAGAUAUCAGGAGGAACACCGAUGGCGAAGGCAGGUCUCUGGGCAUUAACUGACGCUGAGGAGCGAAAGCAUGGGGAGCGAACAGG
rnacentral:rRNA from 1 species